rnacentral:lncRNA from 1 species
UUUUGCUCCCUGGUUCAUUCAGUAGGUUUAGUUCGAAGAAUAGUAUUUUCUUUCUUUGAUUACUGUAUAGAGAAGAGUGUCUAAGAGACCCGCUUGCCGAGCGGAGUCCAUCUGGGGAGGUUAUUCCCUCUACUAAGUAAUUUUAUGCUCUAUGCUUUCGAGGUCUGGCUCAUAGGACAAGCUAUAAUAUGGAAACGGAAUGCUUUGCAAAUGCAGAGUAUCAGAUACUGGUGUUCUAUUGUUCUAUUCAUGACCCUACACAUGAUUACAAGUAUGUUGGCUAACAUGAUAGAUAGUACUACAUGUACGUCCAAUUUUCCUGCAAUUGGUUUAUUAGAUAGCCUGAGUAUUCACCAAAUUGUUCUAUACUUUAUCUUUGUCUUCCCUGAUUUUAAUUAACCCCGUUGAGCUUGUUUAUGACGUAGGCCGAGCCUUGUGUUGUGAGUAUCCCAGGCCGAAUGAUGCUUGAUCUCCUUUUAGAGGAGCUUGAGUUGCCGGCAGCCCGUUACGGUCGAAGGGACUAUUUAAAUAACACCAUGAGUUUCACCAUCAUGUUCUGGACCUCUGUUCCAAGGGAAGAAUGUCAAUUACUAAUUACUAAGUAAACAAUCCAUAGGAUCUGCAUCAUGCAAUGAAGGCAAAGCUCUGUAUUUCCCAUAUUGGUGAACAGGGGAACUUAAGAUCAAGUUAGUUUUAUUGUGUUUCAUAGAUCUUCUGCAUAUCAUAUUCUCAUGCUUAAGAAGGAAUCUUGAAUUUCCCAGAGGCUCAAAAGUUAAAUAAAAACGAUAGAGAUCAUGGUUAGAGGUUACUUUUUGUGUAGAAAUAAUAGGUUAUAUCUUCUGCUUUCUACCAGAAGAAAUGAUAAAUCAAGGUGGAUAAUAACAGGUUAUAUCACAAUAGUGAUCAAAGGGAAUAGAUAUACUUUUGCAAGUCAUCCAUGGAAUUUUAUCAGACAAAUUUAUUUUCUUCAGAUGUGUAAUCCUAUUUUUCCGAGAUAUAUGUAUUUCUUCUUGCUCAUUCUUUUGGGCUUAGGGGCAGUAGAAUAAUCAGAAUAUACCUGGAGUGUUUGUACCAUCUGCAUACACUUUAGCUCAAAAUAAUAAUGUGCUUCCUGUUACUUGCUCUGUUUUGAUAAUGUACAUACAUCAGUUGUGAUAUAUAUAAUUGGUAGCAGAUAAACAAUAUUAGUUUUCCAGUGAAUGAUUUUAGAUUCUUCCAUGAAAGCAUCUCCCCCCUUUUUUCGGUUUUUAUUUCAUGAAAUGAGUUACGAUGACUGUCGUGAUAUAUUUCUUCUCUUAAUAUUUAUUACCAUGAACUAGAGUAUCCAGUGUGUGUAGUUGUAUACCACCUUUUUAGAAAAGAAUCAUAAAUUGCUACUAUACAUUUAUCAGGGUGUGUAGCAUCAGAUCUACACCUUGCAGAAAACAACUCAAGGAGUAAUGCUAAAAUAUUUGUCACUUCUGGUUCAGUCCAGGGGUAAAUUAAAUAUGUAAAGUUCGUCGUGCAAUUUAGAUUGUUAAUUGGAUUAUAUGCAUGAUGAUAUCUCUUCUAUUUUUUUGGUCAAAUACCUUGAGCCGAGGAUAUUAUUAUGACAGGCUUAGCAUUAGUGCAGUGCGGAAGUAACUGUUCUUAGAUUCUCAUGCUAACAAUAAUAUAUUUUGAUCGUUUUCUAUGGUUGAGAAGAUAUAUAUGGUCAAUGCAAGAUUGAAUUUAUUUAUUUGUGGAUACUGGCAGCGCACAUGUCGAUGUUCGGCAGGGUAUCGACAUCUGCGGUUUCACCAUCUCUGCACCAUCCCGAGGUCUUGCAUCUGCUUCUCCUUCUCGGCAGAAGAUGGUAGUCGGUCAAAUAUCUGUAGCCCCUAUGUGUGGUUGUUCAGCAGGGUAUCGCCAACAACGAUUUCCCCAUCUCUGCAUCAUCUUGAGGUAUAUUUGAGCUCCCAAACCCAUCCCUGAUGUGAUUACUAAAUUUAUUGUUUUGAAUUUCACUAAUUUCUUUCCAUGGCUAAUAUGUGUUCAAAUGCUCUAGAUUAUAUGGUGGAAAGAGGAGGCAUAGAGGGGGGGUGUAGUGGGAAGAAGAGAGGGUGAGAGAGGAGGAAGUGGAGACCCUGCCGGCGUAUUGGUGAAAAACCACCUCCCUGACUUUCUACACCAUGGGUUAUCAUCUAAAAUUGAUUUUUAGAGGAAUCAGGACAUGUUCUUUUUUCCUUUCCACAGUUUCUCAUCUAAAAUGGAUUUUUAGAGGAAUCAGGAUCUGGUUCCUGGACCAUUUGCUAUGUACUGAAUGUGUAUGUACCAAUGCAAUGCUUCUGAUAGAAAUUUGAUAUAUUAGAUUGACAAACAUAACUAAAUUAUACAAUUUUUUUUAUAUUUGCAAUGAUUCAAUGACUAUAUUACUGAUUGGAUAUGAC